UACGUAGGGUGCAAGCGUUGUCCGGAAUUAUUGGGCGUAAAGAGCUUGUAGGCGGUUUGUCGCGUCUGCUGUGAAAUUUCGGGGCUCAACCCGAACUUGCAGUGGGUACGGGCAGACUAGAGUGUGGUAGGGGAGACUGGAAUUCCUGGUGUAGGCGGUGAAAUGCGCAGAUAUCAGGAGGAACACCGAUGGCGAAGGCAGGUCUCUGGGCCAUAACUGACGCUGAGACGA
rnacentral:rRNA from 1 species